rnacentral:rRNA from 1 species
GCAAGGAGCGGCAGACGGGUGAGUAACGCGUGGGAAUCUACCCUUUACUACGGAACAACUGAGGGAAACUUCAGCUAAUACCGUAUGUGUCCUUCGGGAGAAAGAUUUAUCGGUAAAGGAUGAGCCCGCGUUGGAUUAGCUAGUUGGUGGGGUAAAGGCCUACCAAGGCGACGAUCCAUAGCUGGUCUGAGAGNNUGAUCAGCCACACUGGGANNNAGACACGGCCCAGACUCCUACGGGAGGCAGCAGUGGGGAAUAUUGGACAAUGGGCGCAAGCCUGAUCCAGCCAUGCCGCGUGAGUGAUGAAGGUCUUAGGAUUGUAAAGCUCUUUCACCGGUGAAGAUAAUGACGGUAACCGGAGAAGAAGCCCCGGCUAACUUCGUGCCAGCAGCCGCGGUAAUACGAAGGGGGCUAGCGUUGUUCGGAUUUACUGGGCGUAAAGCGCACGUAGGCGGACUAUUAAGUCAGGGGUGAAAUCCCGGGGCUCAACCCCGGAACUGCCUUUGAUACUGGUAGUCUUGAGUUCGAGAGAGGUGAGUGGAAUUCCGAGUGUAGAGGUGAAAUUCGUAGAUAUUCGGAGGAACACCAGUGGCGAAGGCGGCUCACUGGCUCGAUACUGACGCUGAGGUGCGAAAGCGUGGGGAGCAAACA